rnacentral:rRNA from 1 species
AAAGCCCCUGCUUGCAGGGGCGAGUAAAGUGGCGCACGGGUGAGUAACGCGUGGUUAAUCUACCCUUGGGUUUGGGAUAACGUCCCGAAAGGGGCGCUAAUACCGGAUAAGACCACGGUGUCCACGGGCACUGGGGUAAAAGUGGGCCUCUACAUGUAAGCUCAUGCCUGAGGAUGAGACCGCGUCCCAUUAGCUUGUUGGUGAGGUAACGGCUCACCAAGGCCGCGAUGGGUAGCUGAUCUGAGAGGAUGAUCAGCCACACUGGGACUGGAACACGGCCCAUACUCCUACGGGAGGCAGCAGUGAGGAAUCUUGCGCAAUGGGGGAAACCCUGGCGCAGCCACGCCGCGUGGGUGAAGAAGGCCUUCGGGUUGUAAAGCCCUGUCAGGUGGGAAGAACCGCAGUCUGGCCAAUACCCGGACUGCUUGACGGUACCACCAAAGGAAAGCACCGGCUAACUCCGUGCCAGCAGCCGCGGUAAUACGGAGGGGUGCAAGCGUUGUUCGGAAUUACUGGGCGAAAGCGCGUGUAAGCGGACCGGUAAGUUGGGAGUGAAAGCCCCUGGGCUCACCCAGGAAGGUGCUUCCAUACUGCCGGCCUUGAGUUUCCGGAAAGGGUGGGGGGAAUUCCCCGGGGGUAUAAGGUGAAAUUCGUAAAUACCGGG